GGGAGGGUUGAAGGGAAAAUAAUGAAACAGAGGAAAAAAGAGAAUAACAAGUAAAAGCAAUGCAUGUAAAUACAGAGCAAGCAAGUAGGAAAGCUAGGCAUAGCACAGCAAAAGAGAGCAAAGCAAAAGAAGGCAAAGAAUGACAAAAAGCAACCUUGCAGGAAUGGAGGAAUCUGUCCAGAGCUGUGCCCCUGCUUGCCACAGGAGCUGCGCGGGAGGAGAAGAACGUGGGCCAAAAGAUUUGUUUUGCUUGCAGGUGUUCCACUUUGGCUUUGUAUGACACAGUGGACGAGAGGGGACGGCGUUCCAGUGGAACAAACGCUGCAGACCCUGGGGAGAAUCAAAGCAGGAGAGAGGAACGUGCCCUUUGCAGCAGGGGCCGUUGUGCUGGCAUUGCCCAUCGCAUCCACUGCUGCUGUGGUCCUUUCUUUCCUUUGGGCAGUUUGCUGUCUCUCACGGGGUUGUCUACAAUAGGUGUUUGUUUGUGUGUCCGUGUGAGGCUGUUGAAUAAAAUUCCCUACCUCUGUGUUCUGCUCUGGGUGCGUGGUUUUCUUGCCUCUGCUCCUGAGGCAUCCUGACUGUCGGAUCCAAACGUACCCUGGGACAGACAGACAGACAGCCAGCCAAGGCAGGCAGGUGCUGCGAUGCCAACCGUCCAG
rnacentral:lncRNA from 7 species